rnacentral:rRNA from 1 species
UACAGAGGUCUCAAGCGUUGUUCGGAAUUACUGGGCGUAAAGCGUGCGCAGGCGGUUUUGUAAGCCAGAUGUGAAAUCCCCGGGCUUAACCUGGGAAUGGCAUUUGGGACUGCAAGGCUGGAGUGCGGCAGAGGAGACUGGAAUUCCCGGUGUAGCAGUGAAAUGCGUAGAUAUCGGGAGGAAUACCGAUGGCGAAGGCAGGUCUCUGGGCUGACACUGACGCUCAUGCACGAAAGCGUGGGGAGCAAACAGG